GAUAUAAUAAAAGUGCUGGAAAGAUCAGCAGACUUGAUCCAUUCCUUCACCAUGUCUUUCUGCUCCCAGGAGAAGGUCAAGCUCUGUAAGUUUCCAUCUAAUGGCUUCUUUUGUCUUCAUUCCAGCAAAGGAGAGGACUGAGUGGCCCAGAUGGAAAGCAGAAAUGCAGACAGAGGCCUGUGGAAGAAGAAUCUUAAAAUAACUAAGCAACUCCAAGAAAACAAGUGAGGAUUUAUUGGAAACAACUGCCUUGAAAGAAGAAAAAAACACUCCAACUUGUUCAAAGUACUUUAUUUUGAUUUCACCUUUGACCCAGAACUUAUCUAGAGAAAAUUUGAGAAGAUAAUACAGAAAGCUCAUAUACUUCAAGCUAUGGGAUGAAUUGUGUUCAACAAAGAAGGAAAGAACCUUUCCUGGCUGAAGUCAGAGGCUGAGGUCAGAGGAAGACGUGACUAUAGAAGAAUGAUCAUAGGAUUGCAAUAUUGCUGGUCUUGAAGACAGAGGAAGGAUGUGGGUUACAUCUAGAAACUGGAAAAGGUGAGGACCACACGUGGAAAAGGGAGGCUGAGAAUGUAAGACAUCAGCAGAGUGUGGAUCUGAUAGCUGUGUUGGGACUAAUGGAAGAUAGAUGGUUUGAGAGGCACCCACACCCUUGGAGCCCAAAACCAUGCCAUGCACAUGUAACCAACCAGCUACAUGUGAAGAUCACAUAAAGGUGUUCUUGUCCUGGCUCUAGCUAAGGUUCCAGCUCUCAGUCAGCAUCAAUUGUGGAAGAUGGGAGUGCAUGAGCUUUUAGAUGAUUUCAGUCCCCUGCCUUUGACACCAAGUGGAACUGAGAUGAUCUUUCCACCGAGCCCUAGUCAAACUGCAGAUUCAUGAGCAAAAUAAACACCAUCAUUACUGAAGCAACAUGGCAUGUGGGGUGAUAUGUUGGGGAAGCCAUAGAUAAUCAGAGAAAGCUCCUUUUCUUUGUGAGCAAUAUUAUUUGCAUAGGAGAGAGACAAAGCUGCAUGGACUGGAAACUUCCAUGACCAAAAAAGAUGUCAUUUUCUAAGGGCUUGAGUGGGAGGUGGCCCUGACAGCAUCUGCAUGAGCCAGAGAUGCACUCACACUUUCAUUAUUGCUUGAGGGUGCCAAGAACUGUAGCAGUAAGAGCAGAAGCAGAAAUGAAGAACACGAAGGAUGCUAUGGAGUGAGAGAAAAGUCCAUGCUUGCAAGAAUCCAAAGACACCCUGUGAGGACGCCCCAAAAUACUCGAGGAAGUGUGUAAGUAGAGCUGGACCUUUCAUUCUCCCAGCUGGGGUAGAACUGGAGCCAUGUGUGCAGGGCCUGCUUCUUCUUCAGGGCUGCCGUGUCCUGGAAAGCCAAGCUUGCACAUGGGUUAUAGCACUCCACUUUCCCAAAGCCCUCAUAUACAUCAUCUGUUUCAGUGCUCGCAUUAACACCUGUGAAGUAGAUAUUAUUCCCAGGUCUCACAGCCCAUAAAUGGAAACUCUGCCGGGAAAUAAGUCCUGCUUUUCUCUCUGUACCAGAGCUGCCCCAGCAAAUUAAAGCUUAUUCUAAAUGUAGGUACCUAGAGCAUUUCUUAAAUUAAACCCAGAGUGAAUUCUG
ensembl:lncRNA novel transcript